rnacentral:SRP_RNA from 1 species
GCUGGGCAUGGUGGCGGCGCGUGCCUGUAAUUCCAGCUACUCAGGAAGCUGAGGCAGGAGAAUCGCCUGAACCCGGGAGGCGGAGGUUGCGGUGAGCCGAUAUCGCGCCAUUGUACUCCAGCCUGGGUAACAAGAGCGAAACUCCGUCUCAAAAAAAAAUUUUUUUUUUUUUUUUUGAGACGGAGUUUCGCCGUUGUUUCCCAAGCUGGAGUGUAAUGGUGCGAUCUCUGCUCACCGCAGCCUCCGCCUCCCGGGUUCAAGUGAUUCUCCUGCCUCAG